ACGAAGCACCGGUAAAUAGCUGGGGUAACUAUGACUCUUAUCAAAGUAGCGAAAUACCUCGUCACUUAAUUAGUGACCUGCAUGAACGGAGCUAUGAGGUUCUCACUGUCCCAAACUGUCUCUCAGCGAACCAACUGUAGUGGGAACGGUCACUAGAUAUCCAGCGGGGAAAGAAGACCCUGUAGAGCUUCACUUUGGUCUAGUCUUGUAUAGUUCCUGCGGGGGUGUAGACUAGGUGGGAGAGCAAUCGAUUCUGAAAAACCACUACCCUGUUUGGAAUUAUGCUUACCUAUCACAAGGAAUAGGACUAGAUAGAAAGUUUGGCUGGGGCGGCACACCUUCGAAAGAGCAGCGAAGGUGUCCUAAGUUGAGCUCAGUGAGGACAGAAAUCUCACGUUGAGGAUAAGGCCAAAAGCUCAAUUUACUGUGCCUUUUUGUACUAGGAUCAGUUACGAAAGUAAGGCCUAACGAUCCCUAAAUAGCCUCAGGUGCGUGAGGAUUGGGGUGACAGACAAGUUACCUCCGGGACAACUGGCUUGUGGCUGCUAAGAGAUCAAAUCAACGCAGCUUUUUGAUUCUUUCGAUGUCGGCUCUUCCUAUCCUAGUGAUGUACAAGUUGCUAAGGGUCGGAUUGUUCACCCGUAUUAGGGAUCGUGAGCUGGGUUUAGACCGUCGUGAGCCAGGUUUGUUUUAUCCUACUGGAUAUAGCAUCAUGAUAGUAGAUUGAUUUAGUACGAGAGGAACUGUUGAUUAUGGCCUCUGGUUAGCGAUUAUCGGAAACGGUAUGUCGCGCAGCUACGCCGUCUGGGAUAAUGGCUGAAAGCCUC
rnacentral:ncRNA from 1 species